CUCGGAUUCAGCUGUUUAAAUAUUACAAGUCUUUGUAAUAUUUAAAGACAUGCCAGUUAAGAUGUAUGAAAAUUGGUAUACAAUAUUCAAUAUGCUGCUGCAAAUACGAGAUGUGAUUUUAGGAACAACAUCGUCAUCUUGUACAUCAACACCUAUUUGGAAACCUUCAGGCAACUUCAGUAAUGGUAUAUCGAAAUAAAUAUUUGAAAUUCUGAGAAA